GACGAACCACACGAACGUUAUUCGGAAUUACUGGGCUUAAAGGGUGCGUAGGCUGUGCAGAAAGUUAGGUGUGAAAUCCCCCGGCUCAACCGGGGAAUUGCGCUUAAAACUACUGUGCUAGAGGAAGACAGAGGUGAGCGGAACUUCGGGUGGAGCGGUGAAAUGCGUUGAUAUCCGAAGGAACACCGGUGGCGAAAGCGGCUCACUGGGUCUUUUCUGGACGCUGAUGCACGAAAGCUAGGGGAGCAAACGGG
rnacentral:rRNA from 1 species